UCGAGUUAUCGGAUCAUUCGAUAACUCGAAAAAGUGUUUAAAGUGUUGACUCGGGAUUCGACCCUAGUCUCCGGGUCGGGUUUCAACCAGACCAAUAAAAUGACUAUUGGUUGGCCCUAUAAAUACGGGUCGGGCCUGGUCAUCGUUGGUUUGGGUUUAAAAGCCCGAUGGACACCUAAUAAGAGUCUUUCCUUGCUUCUUCCAUACGUUUAUACUUGUGACAUUUCUUCUCUUCGACCUCGUCCAUCUCCCACGAGACCAAACCUUCCGUUCUCCUCUUGUCCUAAUUCAAUUCCGUUCUCCUGUUGUCCUUAGCAAGCAAUUAGGGCUAAAUCAAUUCCGCUCUCCUCUUGUCCUUAGCAAUUAGGGCAAGGAAAAAUGGGAAAAAUGAGAGAUUUGGUUUAGGGCAAGAAGAGAAUGGGAGAUUUGGUUUCUUGGACAAAUUUCAUUAUUUUUUUUUUCCUUGCAGGCCCAGGGUUUGUUCGGAGGACUCCAUUGGUGCUUGCUUCCACUUUCCCGAUGGUGCGCAAGUGAUCAAUUCACAUUCUUAUGCCUCUGGUCCAAACACCAGUGGUCCUUCCAUUGGACCUCCCCCUGUAAUUGCAAACAAAGCUUCUGCAAACCAGCCAGCUGCGAAUGAGGUUUAUUUUGUUUGGGAUGAUGACGUGAUGUCUGAGGAGGAAAGAAGAAUGUGAUCAGGAAAGUAUCAGGUUCAUGAUGUAACUAGCCAGGUAAGUUAAAACUACCUCUUUAACCUUUGGAGUUGGCUUGCGCAUCUAACGAGAUGGGUAGGUUUUAUGUUUCAUGUUUUCAGAUACUGUUGUUUAUGCGUUGUUACCUAUUUAAAGAGGGAUUUUUUCUGUAUGAUUUCCAAUUUUUGCCCUAGUUCAAGAAAACAAAGCAGUUAGUGAAAGGUGAUGUAUGUGUCUAUUAAUCGGAUAACUUUUAACUUUCUUUUCUGUCGUUGGAUGGGCAUGAUAUUUGGUUUUACUGAGAUGCUCUGGUUUACUUGCCAUUGCCACCUACAGUGUGGACGACAAAUGAUUCAAGUAGGUAUAUGCAUAUAUUUUUAUGCUGGUAGUUUAGUUAUUACUAUUUUGACAAGCUUUAUGGAAAGGACUCGAGGAUUCUUCAUCCUAGCGUCGUUCUCAGUUAAGAACAGUGUGUAUGUAACUGCUGUUCUUGAAAUCCUUAAUUUUUGUAGUUCGAGCUCUCCCUGUGCUUAAACUGAAAGCUAGGGGGGGUAUGAGUGGAACAAGAUGAUACCCAACAGAAUUUUUGCUAUUUGUAGCAUCCUUGCAAUUUAUUUUGACAGUCGAACAGUGAACUCAGACUUUUGGCCCAGGUCAGCUUCUUUUGCAAAGUUUGGUAUCUCCAUUGUAGGAUGAAGCUUUAAAAUAUAUGGUAUGUCCAAGUGAUUGGUAGUUAUGGUUCCCAUCUGAUCAUCGCUACUGUUGUUGAAUGUUUCAGAUGAGCUCGGUUGAUGCAGCUAUAGAUAAAAGGAUAUCAGAAAGCAGGCUUGUUUUAGAUCAACUGCACUCUGCACUGACAUUUAAACAGCAAGGAUUCCUGGUCUGAUUCUUACAUUGCAUGAUGUGGUAUAAAAAAGAGUUGUAUUCUUUGCAAGAAAUUGAAUUAGAAGGAAAGUCAUUCUUUAAUUGUGAAGUAAGACGUCUGGAGAAGGAGCAUAACUUUUCUUUUU